rnacentral:rRNA from 1 species
UCUUCGGAGAGUUUGAUCCUGGCUCAGGAUGAACGCUGGCGGCGUGCCUAAUACAUGCAAGUCGAGCGAACUGAUUAGAAGCUUGCUUCUAUGACGUUAGCGGCGGACGGGUGAGUAACACGUGGGCAACCUGCCUGUAAGACUGGGAUAACUUCGGGAAACCGAAGCUAAUACCGGAUAGGAUCUUCUCC